GAGCGAAACCACCCUGGCCUAGCCGGGGCGGGUCUGCCGGACGUGGUGGUCCGGUACUGAUGAGCAGCCAAAC
rnacentral:hammerhead_ribozyme from 1 species